UACGUAGGGGGCAAGCGUUGUCCGGAUUUAUUGGGCGUAAAGAGCGUGUAGGCGGCCCGACAGGUCCGUUGUGAAAACUCGAGGCUCAACCUCGAGAUGUCGAUGGAAACCGUCUGGCUAGAGUCCGGAAGAGGAGUGUGGAAUUCCUGGUGUAGCGGUGAAAUGCGCAGAUAUCAGGAAGAACACCGACGGCGAAGGCAGCUCGCUGGGACGGUACUGACGCUGAGGCGCGAAAGCGUGGGGAGCGAACAGG
rnacentral:rRNA from 1 species